rnacentral:piRNA from 2 species
UUAGGAUUCGGCGCUCUCACCGCCGCGG